rnacentral:rRNA from 1 species
AGAGAUGUGUGAUGACGCAUAUCAAUAAGCGGAGGAAAAGAAACUAGCAAGGAUUCCCUUAGUAACGGCGAGUGAAGCGGGAAGAGCUCAAAUUUGAAAUCUUCAAGGUUUUACCUUGACGAAUUGUAGUUUAAAGAAGUGUUUUCUGUUGAAGUUUUGGUAAAAGUUCUUUGGAAUAGGACAUCAUAGAGGGUGAGAAUCCCGUAUUUGACCAUUAUUUUCAGCUGUGUGAUACACUUUCAAAGAGUCGGAUUGUUUGGGAAUGCAGUCCAAAAUGGGUGGUAAAUUUCAUCUAAAGCUAAAUAUUGGCGAGAGACCGAUAGCGAACAAGUACCGUGAGGGAAAGAUGAAAAGAACUUUGAAAAGAGAGUUAAACAGUACGUGAAAUUGUCAAAAGGGAAGCGUUUGACACCAGUGUUGUUUUCUCGAAAAUCAAUUAAAAAAGGCCGGAUUUUGUGUUGUAUUGACCUUAAAAGCUUUCUUCACUCUUUUCUUGUCUUUUUUAAUGCACUUUUCGUUUAACAAGUCAACAUCAGUUUCUUUUGUUGUAAAAGGGUCAUUGGAAGGUGGCUUUCUUUUCGGAGAAAGUGUUUAUAGCCUUUGAUCUCUGCAACCGGAGAGAUUGAGGUCUGCAGCGUAGACUCCUUCGGGGUUAGAUACAUUUGUGCUAAGUUAUAGCUUUUCAUAGACAACUUGUUGACUAUAUUUAGUCUUGUAGCUUACUCGCUUAUGCUAUUUUACCUACGCUUAGGAUGUUGAUAGUCACAGCGUGUAC